GUGCUCACUUGGGCAGCACCUACACUAAAACCGGAAUGGCUCCUGAGCAAGGGUGACACACAAAUUCAUGAAGCAUUCCACAUUUUU
rnacentral:snRNA from 1 species